UGGGGACGUAGCUCAGAUGGGAGAGCGGCUGGUUUGCAACCAGCAGGUCGGCGGUUCGAUCCCGCUCGUCUCCAU
rnacentral:tRNA from 1 species